GACGUAGGGCGCGAGCGUUGUCCGGAUUUAUUGGGCGUAAAGAGCUCGUAGGCGGCUUGUCGCGUCGUUCGUGAAAACUUGGGGGCUCAACCCCAAGCUUGCGGUCGAUACGGGCAGGCUAGAGUUCGGUAGGGGAGACUGGAAUUCCUGGUGUAGCGGUGAAAUGCGCAGAUAUCAGGAGGAACACCGGUGGCGAAGGCGGCUUUCUGGACAGACACCGACGCUGAGGCACGAAAGCUAGGGGAGCAAACAGG
rnacentral:rRNA from 1 species